GAGAAAGACAGAGGAAGGAACUUAUUGAGAGUGAAGAUCGAGGAGUGAAGAAAGAAGUAAGAAAGGAUUGGAGUGAUUGAGUUGCAGUGAUUCAUCUAUGGCCAUUGAAUGCCUGGAAAUGAACCCAGAAGGAGGGCGCUUUCUGUGUUCACUGAAACAGGGCUGGAAAGGCUCUUUGGAGAGUAUGACAGCUGGCCAGACUUAUAGAAAAGGAGGAAAUGUGUUGGAAGAACAAACAACCCGAGGAAAAGCUGGAACCAGAAGAAGAAAGAUAAUUCAAUGUGCGAAGAGGUCGAUCGGGG
rnacentral:lncRNA from 1 species